rfam:Puccinia graminis f. sp. tritici CRL 75-36-700-3 supercont2.7 genomic scaffold, whole genome shotgun sequence.
GGCUGCCUGGCCCAAUGGUCAAGGCGCUUGACUACGACUGCAGACUGCGCAGCCGUCAUCAAGAGAUUCCAGGUUCGAGUCCUGGGGUGGUCG